AUUGAACGCUGGCGGAAUGCUUUACACAUGCAAGUCGAGCGGCAGCGCGGGGGCAACCCUGGCGGCGAGCGGCGAACGGGUGAGUAACAUAUCGGAACGUACCCAGUCGUGGGGGAUAACUAUCCGAAAGGAUAGCUAAUACCGCAUACGUCCUGAGGGAGAAAGCGGGGGAUCGCAAGACCUCGCGCGAUUGGAGCGGCCGAUAUCGGAUUAGCUAGUUGGUGGGGUAAAGGCUCACCAAGGCGACGAUCCGUAGCGGGUCUGAGAGGACGACCCGCCACACUGGAACUGAGACACGGUCCAGACUCCUACGGGAGGCAGCAGUGGGGAAUUUUGGACAAUGGGGGCAACCCUGAUCCAGCCAUUCCGCGUGAGUGAAGAAGGCCU
rnacentral:rRNA from 1 species